ACAAGACUGCAACAUCCCCUCACGCCUAGUCUGUAAAGAACUUUGUUUAACCCGGAGGCGGGGCCAGCCAGCUCCGCCCCUCCAGCUGGACGCGGGAGCGAGGUUGAGGUUCAUACCCCUGGGUUCUCUCCAGGCCUGAGGCGGAGAGCCAGCCGCCUGCCUACCUCUGGGCUUUGAACCCCGGGUCUGGUGACUUCGCUUAAAGACCUCGGGCCGAAGGCCCGCCAGGCUCAACCUCGGUUCACAGGACCCCCGACUUGUGUGAGUCGUACACCGCUCUUUACCGUCUCUGGACCUAGGUCAUCUCGGCAGUAAAAUGGGGUGAAAUGACCCGACCUCCCCGGAGGAUGCCGCGCACGAUGUGUGCCUCAAGUUGGCUUCCACUGACCUGAACUGUUAAGAAAGCCCUCCUCAGUGACGCCUUCCCUGAAUCCACAGUGGAGAUUGCCGUUUUCCUGGAACUAAUUCACCCACACUUACCCAUUUCAUCCCUUUCCACCUUUUAUUUCUACCUUUCUGCCCCACUGAUCUCUAGAAUAGGUGCUGGGAGACGUUAGAGUAUUUGAUCUCCCACUCCCCAGUCAUCCCACUUACCGAGCAGUAAUUCUCUGCCUGGCUGCACAUUGCAAUCACUUGGGAAGCCUCUAAAAAUACUGAUGCCAGGGCUCUACCCCAAGCCAGUUAAAAUCUCCAGCGCUGGACCUGGGCAUUGGUACUUUUUGUAAAGCUUUCAGGUGA
rnacentral:lncRNA from 1 species